rnacentral:rRNA from 1 species
AGUGAACGCUGGCGGUAGGCCCAACACAUGCAAGUCGAACGGCAGCACAGUAAGAGCUUGCUCUUACGGGUGGCGAGUGGCGGACGGGUGAGGAAUACAUCGGAAUCUACUUUUUCGUGGGGGAUAACGUAGGGAAACUUACGCUAAUACCGCAUACGACCUACGGGUGAAAGCAGGGGAUCUUCGGACCUUGCGCGAUUGAAUGAGCCGAUGUCGGAUUAGCUAGUUGGCGGGGUAAAGGCCCACCAAGGCGACGAUCCGUAGCUGGUCUGAGAGGAUGAUCAGCCACACUGGAACUGAGACACGGUCCAGACUCCUACGGGAGGCAGCAGUGGGGAAUAUUGGACAAUGGGCGCAAGCCUGAUCCAGCCAUACCGCGUGGGUGAAGAAGGCCUUCGGGUCGUAAAGCCCUUUUGUUGGGAAAGAAAAGCAGCAGGUUAAUACCCCGCUGUUCUGACGGUACCCAAAGAAUAAGCACCGGCUAACUUCGUG